AAGGGUCAAUAGCUAGUCAGGAUUUCCAGGCACAGAGGACCCGACUCCUUCUUCCCAGCAUCCUCUGUGCCUGGAAAUCCUGACUAGCUAUUGACCCUUCAGCUUU
rnacentral:pre_miRNA from 1 species